rnacentral:rRNA from 1 species
AGAGUUUGAUCAUGGCUCAGAACGUACGCUGGCGGCACGCCUAAUACAUGCAAGUCGAACGAAGUAGCAAUACUUAGUGGCAGACGGGUGAGUAACAUGUGGGUAUCUUCCCUUUGGUGAGGAAUAACACGAGGAAACUUGUGCUAAUACCUCAUAAGUCUUUACGGAGAAAGCUUUAUGCGCCAUUGGAUGAGCCCGCACUUGAUUAGUUUGUUGGUGGGGUAAUGGCCUACCAAGACAAUGAUCAAUAGCUGAUUUGAGAGGAUGAUCAGCCACAUUGGGACUGAGACACGGCCCAAACUCCUACGGGAGGCAGCAGUGGGGAAUCUUGCACAAUGGGGGAAACCCUGAUGCAGCGAUGCCGCGUGAGUGAAGAAGGCCUUUGGGUUGUAAAGCUCUUUCGUCGGGGAAGAAAAUGACUGUACCCGAAUAAGAAGGUCCGGCUAACUUCGUGCCAGCAGCCGCGGUAAUACGAAGGGACCUAGCGUAGUUCGGAAUUACUGGGCUUAAAGAGUUCGUAGGUGGUUAAAAAAGUUGGUGGUGAAAUCCCAGAGCUUAACUCUGGAACUGCCAUCAAAACUUUUUAGCUAGAGUAUGAUAGAGGAAAGCAGAAUUUCUAGUGUAGAGGUGAAAUUCGUAGAUAUUAGAAAGAAUACCAAUUGCGAAGGCAGCUUUCUGGAUCAUUACUGACACUGAGGAACGAAAGCAUGGGUAGCGAAGAGGAUUAGAUACCCUCGUAGUCCAUGCCGUAAACGAUGUGUGCUAGACGUUGGAAAUUUAUUUUUCAGUGUCGCAGCAAAAGCGUUAAGCACACCGCCUGGGGAGUACGACCGCAAGGUUAAAACUCAAAUGAAUUGACGGGGACCCGCACAAGUAGUGGAGCAUGUGGUUUAAUUCGAAGAUACGCGCAGAACCUUACCAACACUUGACAUGUUCGUCGCGACUCUAAGAGAUUAGAGUUUUCGGUUCGGCCGGACGAAACACAGGUGCUGCAUGGCUGUCGUCAGCUCGUGUCGUGAGAUGUUGGGUUAAGUCCC